rnacentral:rRNA from 1 species
CCUAAGAUGAGACUGAAAAGUGUAAUCGAUGGAUUGCAAGUUAAUAUUCUUGCACUGGCUUAAUUAGUGAUGGGUUGACAGAAUAGGUUAAUAUGAGCAGAUUAAUGGAUUUCUGUUUAAAUUUUUAGUAGUAUUGUGCAGUAAAAUGCGCACAAUAGCUUUUUGCAACUAUAAGAAAUGAAUACGAGCGAAACCUUUGGGCGGUAGCGAAGUCAUAUAUAUCAAAUUCUCAAGAAAAGACUCUAAACUUAUAAUUUUGUCAUUCGUACCGAGAACGAACACACGUGGUCAAGGAGAAAAUCCUAAGGCUUUCGAGAUAACUACAGUUAAGGAACUCUGCAAAUUAACCUUGUAACUUCGGGAGAAAAGGUGCCUAGAAAUAGGCCACAGUAAAGAAUAAGGGGGGACUGUUUAACAAAAACAUAGCUUUAUGCAAAAUCGAAAGAUAACGUAUAUGAGGUGACACCUGCCCAGUGCCAGAAGGUCAAUGAAGGGUGUUAGAGAAAUCAAAGCACUUAACUUAAGCCCUGGUGAACGGCGGCCGUAACUAUAACGGUCCUAAGGUAGCGAAAUUCCUUGUCAGGUAAAUUCUGUCCCGCUUGAAUGGUGUAACCAUCUCUUAACUGUCUCGACUGUAGGCUCGGUGAAAUCCUGGUGAGAGUGAAGACACUCUCUUGCCACUAUGGGACGGAAAGACCCUAUGAAGCUUUACUGUAGCUUGAUAUUGAAACAAUUUAAUGAUUUUAGAGAAUAAGCAGGAGGCUAAGAAAACUAGGCGCUAGCUUAGUUGGAGCCAACAGUGGAAUACUGCUAUUUUUUUAAAUUUUUUCUUACAUUUUCCCUUAUAUCAGGGGAAUGGACAGUGUUAGGUGGGCAGUUUGACUGGGGCGGUCACCUCCUAAAAAGUAACGGAGGUGUGCAAUGGUGCCUUUAAUAUGGUUGGAAAUCAUAUUUGAAGCAUAAUAGUAUAAGGGCGCUUGACUGUAAGACAUACAAGUCGAACAGGUAGGAAACUAGGCUAUAGUGAUCCGGUAGUACCGAAUGGAAGGGCUAUCGCUCAACGGAUAAAAGCUACUCUAGGGAUAACAGGCUAAUAAUAUCCAAGAGUUCAUAUCGACGAUAUUGUUUAGUCCCUCGAUGUCGACUCAUCUUAUCCUGGGGCUGAAGCAGGUCCCAAGGGUUCGGCUGUUCGCCGAUUAAAAAGAUACGUGAGUUGGGUUCAAACCGUCGUGAGACAGGUUGGUCCCUAUCUGUAGUGGCUGUAGGAAAAUUGAAAGGAUUUAAUUUUAGUACGAGAGGACCAAAUUGAACAUACCCCUAGUGUUACAGUUGUUUUGCCAAAAGCAUUGCUGUGUAGCUAUGUAUGGAAUAGAUAAAUGCUGAAAGCAUCUAAGCAUGAAACUAACCUUAAAAAUAAUUUUCCCAUUCCGUAAAAGGAAGUAAGAAUUGUAGAAGAACACUACUUU